rnacentral:rRNA from 1 species
GCCUACGGGACGCAGCAGUGAGGAAUAUUGGUCAAUGGUCGGGAGACUGAACCAGCCAAGCCGCGUGAGGGAUGAAGGUACAGAGUAUCGUAAACCUCUUUUGUCAGGGAACAAAGGCGGGGACGUGUCCCCGGAUGAGUGUACCUGAAGAAAAAGCAUCGGCUAACUCCGUGCCAGCAGCCGCGGUAAUACGGAGGAUACGAGCGUUAUCCGGAUUUAUUGGGUUUAAAGGGUGCGCAGGCGGUCUGUUAAGUCAGCGGUCAAAGCCCGGGGCUCAACCCCGGCCCGCCGUUGAAACUGGCAGU